GAUGAACGCUGGCGGCGUGCCUAAUACAUGCAAGUCGAGCGAACGGACGAGAAGCUUGCUUCUCUGAUGUUAGCGGCGGACGGGUGAGUAACACGUGGAUAACCUACCUAUAAGACUGGGAUAACUUCGGGAAACCGGAGCUAAUACCGGAUAAUAUUUUGAACCGCAUGGUUCAAAAGUGAAAGACGGUCUUGCUGUCACUUAUAGAUGGAUCCGCGCUGCAUUAGCUAGUUGGUAAGGUAACGGCUUACCAAGGCAACGAUGCAUAGCCGACCUGAGAGGGUGAACGGCCACACUGGAACUGAGAGACGGUCCAGACUCCUACGGGAGGCAGCAGUAGGGAAUCUUCCGCAAUGGGCGAAAGCCUGACGGAGCAACGCCGCGUGAGUGAUGAAGGUCUUCGGAUCGUAAAACUCUGUUAUUAGGGAAGAACAUAUGUGUAAGUAACUGUGCACAUCUUGACGGUACCUAAUCAGAAAGCCACGGCUAACUACGUG
rnacentral:rRNA from 1 species